GUAGGUGAACCUGCGGAAGGAUCAAUAGCAGUUUGCGAGGGGGUGGGGUGAAUUCGAGGGGGGGUGUAGAAAUAUGCGCCUUUGAGACAUGCACCAACACCCUCUCCUAAAAUACACGAAACCUGUUGAACGGAGAGUGGGUGAUGCGAAUCGUGUCGCCCAUCUGACACUCAUGCAAACGAUGCUACACGAAUGUGAUGAUACACGAAAGUGAAUAUAUAAUAGAAAUGACAACUUUUAACAAUGGAUC
rnacentral:misc_RNA from 1 species